GGACUCGUGGUCUAGGGGUUAUGACGUCGCCUUCACACGGCGGAGGUCGCCGGUUCAAAUCCGGCCGGGUCCACCA
rnacentral:tRNA from 6 species